AGUCAAUAGAUACCCUGGUAGUCCAUGCCGUAAACGAUGAUUGCUAGGUGUGGGGGGGUCUGACCCCUUCCGUGCCGGAGUUAAACACAAUAAGCAAUCCACCUGGGGAGUACGGCCGCAAGGUUGAAACUCAAAGGAAUUGACGGGGGGCCCGCACAAGCAGUGGAGUAUGUGGUUUAAAUUCGAAGCAACGCGAAGAACCUUACCAGGUCUUGACAUCCACCGAAUCCUGUAGAGAUACGGGGAGUGCCCUUCGGGGAACGGUGAGACAGGUGGUGCAUGGUUGUCGUCAGCUCGUGUCGUGAGAUGUUGGGUUAAGUCCCGCAACGAGCGCAACCCUUGUGAAUAGUUGCUACGAAACGAGCACUCUAUUCAGACCGCCGUUGACAAAACGGAGGAAGGUGGGGUAGUGACGUCAAACUACAUCAUGCCCCGUUACUGACCUGGGCGUACACACGUACUACAACU
rnacentral:rRNA from 1 species